rnacentral:rRNA from 1 species
AUUGAACGCUGGCGGCAUGCCUAACACAUGCAAGUCGAGCGGAAGAACGGGGGCUGGCCCCUGGUUGCGAGGGGGACAGGGGAGUAAAGUCCAUGAAUCUGCCUGCUAUAGGGGGAUAACGUCCGGAAACGGGCGCUAUUAUCCCACAUGCCAUGUGGGGGAAAGAGGGGGAGCCCUGGAGGCCUCGCGAUCAGAGGAGCCUAUGUCGGAUUAGCUAGUUGGUGGGGUAAAGGCCUACCAAGGCGACGAUCCGUAGCUGGUCUGAGAGGAGGAUCAGACACACUGGGACUGAGACACGGCCCAGACUCCUACGGGAGGCAGCAGUGGGGAAUUUUGGACAAUGGGCGAAAGCCUGAUCCAGCAAUGCCGCGUGUGUGAAGAAGGUCUUCGGGUUGUAAAGCACUUUUGGUUGGAAAGAAAGGCAGUGCGUUAAUACCUUCCUGUGUUGACGUUACCGGAAGAAUAAGCACCGGCUAACUACGUG